UCAACACUUGGAUGUCGUUUACAUCACACGAAAUUGGAGUCAGAGGUCUUGAAUUAACUGCCGACUCAAUUUGCGCUAGAAUCGUCGUUAACUCUUCGAAUGUGAAUUUUUGUUCUCCCAUCACUUUCAUUAGAUGCAUUUUUACUGUUUUUACGCCAGCUUCUACCAGGCCAUUGAAAUGUGGUGCGCCCGGUGCCACAAAAUUGGUUCCAUUGUCGCUGAAUAUCACUUUUACUUCACCCCGUCUCGCGAUAAAACGUCGUAGUGCAGCAAUAAAUGCGUCAGCUGACAUGUCACUGACCAACUCAACGUGCAACGCUUUCGUUGACAUACAUACAAAAAUGCAAAUGUACGCCUUUACUACUCUUGCAUUUCGGAGUUUCGAUGUUUUGAUGAAAAUUGCUCCCGUAAAGUCAACCAUUGUGUUUGUAAAUGGCUUGCUUACGACUGUUGUUCUAACCGCAGGUAAAUUUGCCAUUUUUUGUUGCAUUGUUUUUGGGUUGUGUCUACGGCAUGUGACACACCCGUUGAGUUGUUUUUUUACCGCCGAAAGACCGUUGACUAUCCAAUAUUUCUGUCGGAUAAGUGAUUCGGUCAACCUUGGGCCAGCGUGAAAAUUAUUUUUGUGCAUAUCACGAAUGAUUAAAAUUGAGAUUCCACUUUUUUUUGGAAUUAAAAUCGGGUGUCUGGUGUUAAAUGGUAUGUCGUAGUUUUUUAUUCUACCACCCACGCGUAACAGACCAUUCGUAUCGAUGAACACAUUCAACUUUAGAAGUUCACUGGUUUUUUCAAUUUUUUUGUUUUUAUUUAAUUUUUCAAUUUCAUUUUCAUAAUACACAUGCUGUACGAUUCGAAUGAUUUUCGUUUCGGCUUGCUCUAGCUCGGUCG